rnacentral:lncRNA from 1 species
UUUUCGUGCCUUCUGGUCAGAGGUUAGCGGAAAGCUCAAAUCCUCGGGGUUCCAGAGGCCGUCCCUCAAGCACCACCGCUCCCCCAGUCAGGGAUGGGGGCAAGGUGUCUCAGAGCCGACCAGCCUCGGGCGGAGUCGGGGGGUUAAGCCCCAAGGAGGGGCACCCCGCCAGGCAAAAGAAUGGACCAGAUAGACGGCAGGGUCCAGCCUCAAGCUGCCACCCUGGCUCCGUAGGGAAAGCACUGCAGGUCCUACGCAAGCGCGCCGCCUGCGUCUAGCCGCUUUGUUCUAGCGCUACCUGCGGGUC